GACCCCCGGAGGACCCCUCCCAUUCAGCAGGGUGAAUAACAGCGAAUUGAAAUGCAGCCUCUGCCUACCCCAGUUUCCUGGCGUUUGGUAGACACUCGUGUGUCUGCUAAACUCGUACUACCCAGGGCUCCCAAUCUUGCAACAAACUUGUUUAGGGACGAAUACCGCUUCUGCCCCAUUAAUGCUGCAGGAACAGCAUCCAGGUCUGGAGAUGCAACGUCCACAGAUCCUUUCUGCACCGAUGAGGGGAUCCAGCCCUUCGGGUUUUGUCUGCAGUUUCCAAAUUCAGCAAUCACUAGCAAACAACAGAAGCCAGCAGAGUUUAAUUAUAUCUUUUUUCCGGAGCGGCGAGGUGCUCGACUGCAGAGCGCUGUGGCUGUAACUCAGCCGGGUUACAAGACAUCUCCAGCAAGAAGGCGCUCGAGCAGGAGGUAAUUGAGGGCUGGCUCCCGGAGGGAAUUUUCCCUUAAAAGGGUAACUACAUUGUCAUGAUGAAACCAGCCUGCUUCCACUGCCCGCAGAGCUUUUUGCAAACACGUCUGCCAGAGCUGGGGGCGGUGGCAAUUAUUACAGCAGACUGCUAGGAGCAGCAGGGCAGUGGCUACCGCUCCAAAUGCUACAGGAUCUCUGGCCUGUCUCAGCCGUCCUCUCCCGUGAAGGGCAGCCCCAGAAGGUCACUCCACUGCCGCGUAACAAGAAGCCAGCUCCUGCCGUCCGCUCAGGGAAAAGGGAUACCUCAGCUAGGGUUGCAAGCAAAGAAACCAGCCUCACACAAAGUGUUCGCGCUCAAAAUCCGAAAUAUUUUCAGAGGGGCAGGCAGGCUGCCAGCUGAAAGCAUACCAGAGCCACACAGGAAUUUUUCCAAUUAAAUAUUUUUUUCCACCAGAAAAUAACCGAAACGCCAGCUUCUAAUCUGAGAGCCCGUGGAACACUUCUGAACAAAGCUCUUCCGGGAGGUCAAGGCACACGAUGAGAGAGCAGAACCCUAGCGUGGCCUUUCCCCCAGCAGCAGGCUGCUGCUAAGGGAGAGCCAGGUUUGGGGCCAAAACCUUCUUCUGCCUUGCUCAGAGCGGUGACUCGAACCUCAGCUUCCCGCAGCCCAGAGGAAACCGCCUUACCUCUAACACGACUGCUGCUCCAGGCCUGAGAGCCUUCCUUGCCCUCCUCACAGCCCACCCACCUGGAGUUCUGCUCUGUGUUCUCUUGUGCAGCGCAGGAAGGGCUGCACUCUGGGUUUUGGAAGGAAUGAUACGGGAAAGACGGGUUUGGGCCCAGCUGUAGUGCCGGUCACAGGUUCCCACCUCACAACCAAAGCCUCUCUGUGCACAUCUUGGGUGAGAGUUUAAAAAUCCGAGAUUUUAAAAUCUGACUAAUGCUCACGCAGUCUCUCUAGCACCAAGUAAGCCACCCAUCAUGCCACAAACGGAGCAGGGAGCAGAAAGUAAAACACCACCCCUUCCUCUGAGGACUAGCAGCCUACAAGGACCCCAAGCAGCUGCUGUCCUUGUAUCACAGCAGGGAGCCGAGGCAUGGGGCAGAAGCCCAGGUUGCUGGCGAGAGAAUUUCCCAAAUAGCUGCUCCUCAACAGCCGCUGUCACUGGAAGUGGGACCUGCUAGUGCUGAGCACUGUAAGAGGCAGACCAGCUGCAGCUCCCCGCAGGCACAGCGGUCAGCUCAGGAGCUGCAGGACCUCUGCAGCCGUUGCUGGAUCCGUCUGGUGCUUGCUCCUUCUGGUGACAGCCCACUGCUACCCCGUGAAGUGUCAGCUUGAACUAGCCCCGUAUCAGGAACUCUGCAAGCGGCCACGGAGAACCAGCACUCUUCCUCUCAGCUGUAGGGGUAGAAAACUUCGCUUUCCGAUCAGUCCUUCUCUGCAAAGAGAAGCUUCGACAGGGGAAGUGCGCUAGUGCCGAUAAACAGAAACUCAUCCAGAGAUAAACAGCAGAAAGCGGAGCGGUACAGGUGUCUACAGGCACAGACUGGUUGCCAUUUGGCUUUCCCUUUCUGCGAGUAAUACCACGAAAAUGAAUCAGGCUCUAUUUCUGAGUCACAGGGAGCGAAUGUAAACUUCCUCUCCAGGCGAGGAGAACCUGGGCAGGUGGAGGAAGAGCCGCGCGUGUCCUUAUGCGCUGGAUAAACAGCGCGGGGAGUCCGUGGAGCUGCGCGAAUCCUGCUCCAGGGCCCGAGAUCUGCAGGCCUGUCCCAGCGGAAGACCCUGGGGUGGAAACACGCGAUAAACAUAUGACAACAUCUGCCUUCUGCUUCCUGUGCUGUGCGCAGAUUAUCGCUCUCUGCAGAUAACUCUGUCCCUUCUCAGGGAGAAAGCUGGGCUUUGUGCUCUUUAAAGGCCCGCUGAGACCAGCUACAAUUGGCGCCAGCUCGUUCUGUAUGUGCUCACACACCGCGCGCACCCUCCAGCCGCUCGAGCAAUAUGGUUUCACAUCUGCCCGGGGUUGUUUGUUCUCUCAUCCCUCCUUCUGCCAGCCCAUCGCGCUGAAAACAGGAGCAGGGCAGGCAAAGUGCCCUGCACUCGAGCGUGCUCUCUCCGUGAGCGGAGCGGAGCUGACGCCCAGCUGAGCUCCCCCACCUCCUCCCCGCUGAUGACAUUAUUUUCUACGCUGCUCGUGCCCAGAAGCGAGGAAGCCCCUGGAACGCAGCAGCCCGUGUCGGAGCUGUUUCUGCACUGAUCGCCAGAAACUCCAGCAGCAGACUUUAAAGGGAAGCCUGGUGGGCCGCGAUAAAAUAAAAGCCAUCCGUCGGCGAUUUGACAUCUGCGGAGCUCCCUGCAAAGCACACGACUCCAGCUGCCGUCCCAGCCCCCUCCCCUCGCCUCCGACUCCAAGACCAUGAAAUUACUCAUUAGGCCUGGAACAAACUUUCGGGGCACUUGCAUGCGGCUGGGGACAGAGACAGAUGUUGUGGGCUCUGGAAGAAAAUUGCUGAGAGACAGAAAAACACUUCCAAAGCUACGCUGCUGCCUCCUGACAGCGUGCUCCCGGCUCCUGCUGCGCUCCGUGCCUUACCACGGAGUCAGAAACGAAGGCACCGAUGGCAUCGCAGCUCUAUCGACCUUUUAUUAAAUGCUCAAACGUAAGAUUUUUUUUUGUGUUGCUUAAAAAUUUUGCAUCGAGCCUUACGGGAUGACAUUGGAGAAGCUCAGGGCUGUGCCUCUGGCAGGAGGUUUCGGCACGUGAGGUUUACUGGUUACAAAAUCCCGCAUUUCGGCUGCGCUCUUUUCCUGAUAAAAGCAGGGACGGGAUUGCCUUUAGGAGCCAGCCAGUCCUCGGAGGCCCAGGAAGCAGAGGACCCACCCUCUUUUACACAUGCAGAAAGUGAGAAUAAAAACAUUGCCUGCAGGCACGUCAGUGAGGGGAUUGGGAAGCAGUGUCCAUCAGGGUUUGGUUUAUAGGAUGCAGCCACCCCCGCCUCCCAUAACCAACACUCGCUCAGUCAACCAUGGGGUGCAAACCUGGUAGGGACAGGACACCGGCUGCAUCACAGAGCAUCUGCUCUCACCGUCAGGGAGGAAUAUUUGUGCCCUUUUGAUCCUUCCCUGUGCACUCUCCUCCGCAUAGUAGAUGUUUUAAGAGAAUAUCAGUCCAAUAUUCCUGGCCUUGAAAGUCCAGGCUGACCUCAGCUAGCGAGGAGAACAGUUCAAAGCAGAGCCGGGAUGACCGCUGGGACCUGAUAAUCGCUGCGAGAUAGAGGUUGUCCCACCAGAAAUCUCCCGGCUGCCGUUCAAAUCUCAGACUCUCAGACUGAAGAGAAUUUGAGCACGAUGAGCUUUUACAGCCCUCCUCACUGCGAAGCAUCACACAAAUAAUGCGUCUCCCCUCCCUGCAGUACUUUCCCUGAGAUGUCAUUCAGGUAUAAGUACCUCCUGAGCAGACUUUUUUUGCUUCUCACAUAUUCCCGCAGGACGGAUGUGAGCUCAGCUCUCCCCAAGUGCGAGGAGAAGGAACUGAGUUGGAAGCUGCAGUGAAGUGGUGUCAGUGAAGGGCAGAGACAAAGGGGAGUGACCCGACCACCAGGAACAACCCCGGCGACAGUGUUAAUUGAGUGUAAGCUGCACUUUCAGGGCUCCAUAGAAGCUUAAGCCCAUUUAUCUUUUCAAGGGAUUUAAAGGCCUAAGAGCUUUGGAAAAUGGCACUGACGGGACAGGAAAGUUCAAAUCGCCAACUGCAACUCCCAGGCGCUGUUAGCGUGGAUUGAACCAUCUGUGUCAACCCCACACGGCGCCUUGCCGGGCAAGACUUGCUCACCUGCUCUCUCUGACAUUCCCUGGGCUCCUCGAGACUUUUCCUCAAAACCAAACAAACAUAACCCCUUGCGUUUCUCUCGCGUAUGAUUUCGUCCCGAUCCCGUAACACUGGAUUCUCCCUGAGCCCGAAGACAGAGAAGAUUGCUUUGUGAUACAGCUUCCUGAGCCAGGAGCAACAGCUCCGCUGAAAUACCUCCUUCUACAUCGUCUGAGAGGCUACGCAGGAUAAGCAGAGUCUGGGAAGACAGGAAAAAUGGAAUUAUAGGCUUGUGAAAUGGACACUGACAAAAAAAAAUGAAGUGCUAAGCUCACUCAGAGGCCGUCUGUGUUUAAUCCAGUCAUCAGACAGUCUCUCUUUAACUAAAUAUUUGAUUUCAGAAUUGAGCCUGAAUUAUUACUGGCAAAGGUUUCAAGCUCCACAGGUCCCUCUAACAAGCUGCUCCUUCUUGGAAGCCCUGCAAGGAGGUGAAUACAGCCUUUGAGGAAAGCGAUGGAUCCUUCCUCAGGCUUCCAGAGUGGCUCUGCGGAGUCCCGUUAGGUCUCCAGUGUUUCUGAAAGCUUCGUAUGUCUGACUGUUGGAAGCUACAGGGCUGGUGUUUGUUUGUGUGCAUUGCUGGGAUGUUCCCAGAGGAUUUUUGGCUUUGCAGCAUGUCCCAGCACCAGAGUUAUCAAAGAAAGCACCAAAAAUAACCUAGCCUACAGGACAACCAAAAGCCUGGCCCAGACAAGUAACAAAUCAGAUGGAGCCACACAAGAAGACACGCAGGCAGAGCCCUAACGUGUAUUCCAUGCUGACGGGACAUAUCUGAAGGCGCAGUCUGAAAACCAGGACACAGAGUCAGUACAUUUAGUUUCUCUCAUGCCCACAGCAAGGACGUAACGUAGCACAAACAUACAGUGCCCCAUGGCAUCACUGGCAGCCACACACCCCGGGGCCCAAAGGAACCGAUUUGGGUGCUUCCACGCAGAGCCCUCGGUGGCUAUCCCAGCACCUCGUGCUGUUUGACACCCAGUCGUGUAACGACAGUCCAUUAACACAGGAAGAAGGACGUGGUCGGCCCCUCUCCCACGCAGUAUUUAAUCUCCUGACCGUGCAGCGUAUGCCAGAAAAGCCAACCCUCCAGGGCUGGAGGCUGCUCCCUGAGCCGGGCUCCCCCACUGUGGGCAGCUCCAGGGAAGCAGAGGCUCGGCUUCCUGGACUGCAAUCAGCUGCAGGCAGGAGGAGUCACCUUCCAGUUUUGCUUCCAAAGGAAAUCAAUUCAAGUCCGAUCUGCUAAACCUUUCGGUAAGCAACCGUUUCUGCGUAAACACAUGCUGGUUUGUGGGCUGUGUUACAGGGUUAGCUGCAAAUCUGACUGACUUUAAAAUCACUGUGUAUACAACUGAACCAGAGGGCAAACAGAGGCGCGUUUUAAAAUGGCAUGGAUUUAAACGGCCUGACUCACGAUUUCUGAAAGCUGGCCAUUCAAAAUAACGAUUACCCUAAACUAACACAUAAAAACUGAGCGCAAAACGCUAUGUCAGAGAGCUUCGCUUCUAAGCAAGAAAGAGCACAAAGCCAGCUUAGAUAAAAUUAUUCUUCACGUGAAAUAAAGUCAAACACCGUUCUGAAGACAGGGUCAGUAUCAGGAAUAUAUUGCAAAAAGAGCUCAAAUUAUCACCUGCCCCUGUCACCUGUUAUGGUACAGUGUUAGUGGGAAAAUCCAAACGCUCUUUUAGGUCUGUUAGCUGACAGAUGGAUCGCUAGGCAAGUGCUCAGGAUCGUUAACAAAUCCUUGCAGCAUUCUGUACUUAGUGUCAGCAGAAAGCCUUCAUCCCUUCCACACCUGAACACAAACCUAUUUGGUAAGGAUGGAAGGAACUGCCUACACUGCUUUUUUUCUGCCCGCUGGAAACACCCAAGCCCACAGGUGCAAACUUCCAGUACAUCUGUGCUACUUCUCUUCUGAGAUGAGCAUUAAGCAGCAGAAAAGCCAGAGGGGAUCAAUCCCAGCUGAUUCAAGUUCUGGAAGAGGUGCAGACAAGGACGCUAACAGUGGCAGGUUAAAUCUGGACAGCUUUCCAUCCACGGGUCUCUUCCCGCGUAAGGAAAGAGUGGCAAGAGCCAGAGGUGCCACCCGAGGCUGGCACGUCGCUGGGCCAGGCACGCAGAAGGGUCCCCAGGACAGUGGUGUCCCCCAAGACUGGCCUGAACCAGGGAGCAGCCCCAGCUACAGCCUGGAGUUCACUGCUCACAGCAAAUCGCGGCAGAAUUAUCAAAAUGGAAAACAAAAUCAAAGACAGAACCAGACCCAGAUGCUGAAACAGAAGAACAUUAACUAAACCCUGGGUGAAGAGCACUUUUACCCCCUUCUGCACCUGCUGCUGAGCCUUGGCCGUGUGGUGAGAGCCCCCAGAAAGUGCCAAACCCUGAACCUUGUUUUCAGGAAAAAUAAAGCAACCCACCCCAUAUUUCCCACAGAAGAGAAACCCCUCUCCUCCCAUAUUAGCUUGGAAACAGAAUUUAACCACCCGCAGCCUCAAAGUGAAGGCGCUGAACUGAACCACCCUGAGGUAACGGGCGGCACCGGCCGAAGGAGAGAUCGUGCAGCACCCUGACUGAAACGUCGGUAGCAGGAUUUGCCCCUUGAACUCAUCCCAAAACUUCCUAUUUUAAAU